rnacentral:lncRNA from 1 species
UUAUUUAAAAAACUUUCUUAAAGUGCUAAGUUGAUUGUUUAAGCUAUUAUCAUAGACCAAAACUCAAUUAUCUUCUUUAAUUGCCAUAGGUCUCAAUUAAUGUUGCUUAUCAAAUCAUGCCUUAUUUUUUAACCUUACCUUUUAAACUUUUCAAAUACUAUUUAUACAUCUUUUGGUCUUUGUUCAAGUUUUUGAAUUU